CAAAAAAACACAAAGAGUGGGUGUGGGUGUGGGUGUGGGUGUGGGUGUGGGUGUUGUUAGAAGGCUAAAUUAAUAAAUUCAGCUCAUGCCCUGGCGUGAGUUCUAUCUCAUUAAUAAUCUAUAUGCAUGCACAAAUUCUAUCUUGUUCUUGUUCCAUGUAUCACAACAGUACAUAUUUCAGGUGAGAUGUUAACACCAAGGUUAAAAUUGACAGCAAAGCAAAGGUUAAAAUUGAGAUGUUUUCAAUGCCUAUCUAUGCCGCACUGCUGCAACUAAGGCACACUGCUGCAACUAAAGCAUCAAAUUUCCUGCCACCAUGAACAUGACUGGCUGCCUAUAUGUAUAAAGAUGGCCGGUCACCUUAAUCCCCUUUAAACACCAAAGCAACCUACUCUGCUUGAAUAUUAUGGAUGUCCCCAUUGCCAUUGCCCAGGCCUCUCUCUGCUUUGCAAAAGUUGGUGGAGAGAGUCAUUUAGCAUACACAGCCUUUGGAAAAGGGGAAAGGAGAAGAAGAGAACAGACAGAAGAAGAAUGAAGCAGAGAAGAAGAAGAGAGACAGAACGAGCUCAAAGCUAAUCCAAAAUUUAAUUUUUCAAUCCAUUAACACAACCAUAUUUCCUAAUACAUCAAGAAGACCAUGUGGUCGACGGAGGGUUGUAAACAUAUAAAAAAUUGUAAUUAUCCUAAUGAGGACCAUGUGCAUAGAUGAAAGGACAGCAAGGAUUCAUGUAGAAAUCCAAUGUGGGGUUAAGGCUUGUGAUGAUGAUUAUGAACUAUCCUAAUGAAAUAAGAUUUAAAAAUCCUAAUAAUGAAUAUCCAAAACAAAAAAAACCAUUAUUUGAUGAAAGUGAAACAAAGGGGAAACCAAAACAAUUCUAUUUAUUACUUAUUCAAUGAAAACCGCCCCUUGACAAUGUUAGUUAAAUGGCUUUAUAAAGAUAAUUCCUUCUGGCAUUAUAUUAUAAAUUAUUCUAUGAAUUUACAUUUGUCAUAUUUUCAGAAAUUAACACCAGUGCCAAGGUAUAGAGCGUAUACUCACCUUAGUGGCAAUAAGCCCAAUAGUUGAAGAAAGCCCACACCAGUUGAGCAAUACUUUCCCUGUUAUGUAAUCCAAAACCAGAAAGUUUUUCAACUUGAUCAAAGUAUGCACAUUCAAUAUUUUCAAGAGUAACAGCAUACGUUCUCUCCAUUCCCUGUCAAACCAACUGUGCAUAAACUAGGAAAAGUAAUCUACAUAAGGAGGUCUUAAGGAACAGAAAGGAAAGGGUAUGGCAAAUAUAUACACACACAAACAUAUCCCAGUUAGAAGGAAUAUUAAAUAACUGCCUGCAGGGCCACAAAUGUGGUUCUGUUGCAUGAUCGGGAAGUUGUAAGCAAAAAAGCAAAAUAUUAUACAUAAACCUGACUUUACCAACAUAAGAAAAAGUUUAUAUAUCCCACACUCUAAAGAUUGUAUCAGUUUAAGAUCUCCUCACGUACUUGCAUGAAGAAUUUAACACCAGUAGUUUUGCAUGAAAAAUAGGACAUUAAAGAGUUGAUUUGGGCCCCUAAAAGAAAUUCAAUAUGCUAAAGCAAUAUAGGGGAAACAACUUGGUGGAGAUCAUAAAGAGUGAUGGAAGAUUUUAAGGGCUGUCAAUCAAGCUAUCUUUUUUGAAUUAUUUCCUAAUACAUAAUUAGAAGGUUAGGUGUACAGAUUUGGUAGGUUCUGUAAAUCAAUUAGAGAUUGUCUCCAUUAGAGGAAAUUCCUAAAUUGAGAGUUUCCUAUGAUAGAUUAGCUAAGUUUCUAUAUAUAUAAAAUUCUGGACAGAAUGAAUAAAGUCAUCAAGCCUUCUCCCUAAUUUCUAACAUAGUAUCAGAGCUUUAGGGAACUCUCUGUGGGCGGCCUUCAUUGCCAUUUAUCCUCCUAAUCUCCAGCCUUUCAUUUUUGUUCAGUUUUCCAGCCUUAUCACCCCCAGCACUAGUUGCCCUAAAUUUUUUAGCAGCCCAGAAGGACGUCAACAACCUCUGCCAAAGUUCUCUCUCACUGCAUCGGAGGAGUACCGACAAACCCAGUCUCCGAUGAACUGCAGCAAAUCAGUGCUGCAUACUGGCUCACUGGGAAGAACCAUCUAAAAUGGUCACAGCUGAUCAAAACCAUUUUAAAGGGCAAAGGCAAACUCAACCAUAUAAUUGGAACUGGUCCCGAGGAAGGAGAUCCCAGUUUUAUCUCAUGGGAUGAGCAGGAUUCGAUGAUUAUGGCUUGGCUCUGGAGUUCUAUGCCACCAGAAAUAAGUGACACGUGUAUGUUCCUACCGACUGCAAGGGAGGUCUGGGAGUCCAUCCGACAAACUUAUUCCAAAAGUCAAGGAUGCAGCCCAAGUCUAUGAGUUGCGGAUCAAAACUAUGUCAACAAAGCAAGGAGAAAAGACUCGCUGAAUAUGUAAACUUGCUGAAGGGGCUGUGGCAGGAAAUGGAUCAAUAUCGGGCGAUAAAGAUGAAGGAUAGUAAGGAUGCUGCAUUGCUGACGGCAUUCAUCGAAAAGGAUUGCACAUAUAAUUUUUUAGCAGGACUGAAUGCAGAUUUUGAUCUUAAGAAAGUAGAAGAGAAGUGAUGUUGGAGACGAAAUCACUGGAGACAUCGACAAUGCUGACAAAAACUACAGCCUGAGGACCAAGAGAAAACUGGAAGGCUGAAUCCAAAACAGCAAGUGGGGAAGAUGGGGACACUAUGGUGUACCUAUUGUAACAAAUCGAGGCAUACCCUGAAGAAAUGCUGGAAAUUGAAUGCAAAACCACCCAGUAAAGAGUGGGGAACCAAAGGAGGACAGAAUAAGCCUUACAAAGGGCAAGCAUACCAGGUGAUCGCACAGCAAGAAGCGGAGAAAGGUCUGGACUCAAAACAAAUCUCAAUAAAGAGGAGGUUGAGAAGUUGAGGAAUUUUUUGGCAGCCCUUAAGAAACCAUCAGGUACUUGUUCAUUGGUACAUUCAGGUAUAUCUCCCACCUCUCACUCUGUUUAACUGCCUCAGAAAAAGUGUUUAGACAUUCAUGGAUUAUUAACUCCAGAACCACAUAUCAUGACCCAUGCCUCUUAUAAUUUCAACACUUAUACUCCUUGUCUUAGUAAUUAGGAAAAUAGCUACUACAAAUGGCUCUCUGACCACUGUAGCUAGAAUAGGAGAUAUAAGACUCGGUCCAAAUCUCACCCUUAAAAAUGUCCUUCAUGUUCCUAAACUGUCUACAAACUUGGUAUCUAUCACCAAGAUUUCUCAAGACCUGAAUUGCAAAGUUACACUUUUUUUUUUCCCCAACAAACUGAUUAUUUCAGGAUCAGGCCUCGAGAAUGAUGAUUGGAUGUGUUGAGGAAAGGGAAGGAUUGUACUAUUUUGGCGUGCUUGAGACACCGGACAUCAGCAAAAUAAACCAACAGAUUCAUACCAAUAAGGAAUUAAAAAUGCACAUUGGGAGUUUUCAGAAUUUUUUGUUGAGAAGAUAAUUGUUGGGAUAACUCCUCAAAUUAUGUUUUGAUAAAUAUAAAGUCUAUAAUGCAAGCUCUAAUUUUGAGUAGGAGAGCUAUUCGAGGCCUAGUCUAAUUAGAAUUGUAGCCUAUAGAUAAAUAUCCCUGGUUCAAUUAUUAAUUAGAUCAUCCCUCUAGAAUAUUUGUGUUUUCAAAAUUUUACUAACUAGUUAUCGAGAGGAUGUGUUCCAGGUGUUUCACAGACAAUUACCUAGAUUUGUUGGGAUUAUGAUGGAUAUUUCAAUUUGCCAUAAACCAGGGCUAUUCUACAAUUUUUAGUUAUCUCAAACCAAAAACUACUUUAUGGAUCUUGUAGCUUUCCUUUCCAAAACUAUGUUUAAUGGAUUAUCGCAUUAAUGUUGAAUCAUGGAUGUAGGCAAUUGCCCAACCACAUUAAAAAUUCAGUGUUCCUAUUUUUCUCUUGAUUUCUAUGUUUGAUUGUGCUCGAUCCAGAUUCCUAAUAGGUUUCGUCACAGUGCACAUUCUUCAGGAUACUCUAGGUGAAGCAAGAGCUUCAAGGUGCUAACAGAAAGAAAACACGAGAAAAGAGAGAAGAGGGAAACGUUUUUGCUGAAAGAACUUUACUGAAUGAUCAGAAUUACAGAAAUGCAAGUCUUAAUAUCAAACUUUGCAACUUGCAACAACAAGUUAUAACUGUCUAACCAACCAACAACUAAUAUAACAGCACAACAGACAACUAAUAUAAUACCAUAACAGCUUACAACAAACACAACCGUGACACAACAUAAAGAGAAAUACACAAAACAAAAUUAAUCAACAUUAUUUCCUUCUACACUAGGAAAACAUAGAGAUGAAAUACCUAAUAACUUGUACUCUGUGAACCCUUUUUGGUUCAUGCUUCUAAUUGAAAGUUGGAAUAACAUAAAGUUGUUUAAUUGUUAGAUAUAAUAUGGUUUUGCAACGGGUAACUGCCAGACUAGUCAACAUAACAUUAUUGAAUGAGAUAAUCAACUUGGUUUCAUGCCCGAUAAUGGAAACACUUAACAACAUACAGUUAUUUUAUGGAGAAAUUCAGCAUUUAGGAAACUAAAAUGCAAUAAUACCACCAAACCUACGCAAUCGAGGAAGCUAGAGAUGCUGUAGCCUAUCUCUUGUGAGAAAUUUCACAAAGAAUGCUCCCAAAUAGCGAACAGUGAUGGAAAUGGUUGGGAGGGACAACCACCAAAGCCAGCACUGAAAAUAAAUAGUAAAAAACAAGAUGAGAAUGUUAAAUUUGGAUUGCAUAAAAAAAAGUUCACCGUUUCAUCAUAAAUGAUUUAAAAAUUACAUGUGUAAUCCAUGAUGUAGAAAACAUGAAACCAAUGCCAAUAAACAUGGAAGAAACAUUCCUUGAAGCCUCGGAAAUAUGCAUUGUCGCUCAGUUGAAAGCUAUGAAACAAGUCUGCCCUUGCUCAAUUUGGGUCGAACUCGGGCAUUACUCAAUAGAGGUGCAAGGCUUAUAGAAGUACCAAAUAAGGUUUGUGGAUAAACACAAUCAAGAGGCAUUCUAAGCAUGAAAAGGUUUCAGCUAACUGAAAUAUGGGAAAUCAAGAGUACAGGUGGGAGACAAAUGGGGAAGAGAUUGUUAAAUGUGUGUGGAUAGAUUGUUAAACGUGCAAGAAAGACUUGAUCUAACCUGGUGGAUGGCGUGAAUCAACACGUUCUUCCUCUACCGAGCACAACCCUUUCCCUAGUAGAAGAAAAUAACCACGCCUAAUGCAUUAGGGAAGUUGAGCUGCAAAAAAAAAAAAACGAAAAAAGAAACGGGUCACAAUUUCUUAGGAUGAGAUCAUAAUCAAGUACAAAUGGCUUGAAAUUAAAGGGCAAUUGUAAUUGCGUAAACAGAACCCAAUCAUAAAGCCAGACGUUAGGCACCAAGAAAACCCAAACGGUUUUUCCAUCAAAGAAUCAUUUGAUCCACCCUCGACAAAUAAGUACGAUGCACCAAAAUGCAAUGAAAAUAUUUUACGUGGAUAACGCUAAAAAGAAAAAUAGUUGUAGAAGAUUUUGUCAAGAAAUACCAUACCUGGGUCACUGAGAAAGUAAGAACGAAGAGCUACUUCUCUGUGUAGGAUACGAGCUCUCCUAUUUCCCAAGCAUUCAGUCCUGAGAACCUGCCCAUUGAGGUAAAAAGCUAUCACGACCCAAUUAGUUUAAAAAGGAACGACUAUUUUAACAUCAUAAUUGAAAUAGCAAGACAUAAAAAAAAAUAAAAACGGAAAGGAAUAAAAAGGGGGUAAAAGGUAAAAGAUCACUACAGUGAUAACUAAAAGCGUUGAACAUGCAUGUAGACAUCCAAAGAACAAUACAACUACUUCCUGCAGUCGAAAACAUCAUAAAAAUAUGGUCAAAUAAAUUAUUUUAUACUGAACUUAGGGUCUUUUUUCACUAUUAUCCAGUUUUGACAUUUGUUUCAAUUUUAUCAUCAAACUUUAACUUUUGUUUUAAUUUUCUCCUAAAGCGGACUAGCACGUGGCCCUGCAGACGCGACGUAUUGUUGUGUCAAAUAAUGGACACAAUAGGCAAACAAUCUCAUGGUUGACUUUGAUCCAAAUCCGACCCAGCGGGGUCGACCGAACAUGUAAUGGGUCAAAACCCAUCUUCUUUCCCAAAUCACCAAGUGUUUCGCCUUCCACCUUACGCUGUCGCCGCCCCCGUCGUUGCCAUUUUUGCCUUUUCCCUACCCCUAGCCGACUCCUUCUUUCUCACUCUUCAUCGCGGGUGGCUUGCUUCCAUUAAUGGCGACCACAUAGGCAGCCGAUUGGGAAAAGAAGAGAGAGGGGAGAAGAUCGCAGGUCAAGUGGAAAAAAUGACCAUGGCGAGAUCGAUGUUGAGAAGAAGACAAGGGCCAUGGGUAUAUUGCCGUCAAUCGAGUGGGCGUUGCUUCUGCCAUCGUCGACGAUGUUCUCCAAAAUCGAGGUUCACCGUGGCUGUCCUGACUGACGGUUCGACUCCCCUUUUUGUCGAUGGCUCGCCGACGUGGGUGAUCAUUUUGGUCGACCAAUUUAUGCGAGUCUUCUCAGCCACGGGUCGAAUCUCGGCAUUGCAAUGGCCAUCGACGCCAUGGCCGAGGACCUCUGGUCACUCCCAUGGCCGAACAGCUUUGUCCUCAACAUGGCUCGCGUGGCGUGACCACAAGGUUGAGGCCUCGGGUUACCGGCGAUGAGAGAACAAAAAGAGGACCGAUGAUGAAGGAAGGCGGCGGCAACUGUUUAGGAUGUAAAACCUAGUGGCCUGAGAGUUGAAGAUGAUGGAUUUCUUUUGCUGAUGUGUUCGACAAAGGACACAUCAGCACGCCACCUAAGCACCACGUAUGUUGGGGGCUCUUGCCUAUCCGCUUAGAGAUAAAAUUGAAAUCAAAGUUUAAAUUUGAAGACCAAAUUGAACUAAAUGUCAAAACCGGAUAAAAUUCAAAAAUGACCCUAAGCUCCCGAUAAAAUAGUCUAUCCGGCCCAAAAAUAUAUUGUUCUAAAAUGGGGGAAGAAAGGGAGAGUAAUGCAUAAUGGAACUCACAACCUGUUAAAGAAUAAGCUUUAGUGUCUCAUCAACUUUCUCAUAAGAGCGUGAAAUCUAGUACUUCACCUGAGCAAAACAUCUUACAGUCAGUAUAGCGCCAAAAAUUCCGUACAUAAAAAUUGUGCACUUGAUAAAAAAAUCAAUGACGGUAAGUAAUGAUGAAACAUAAGUACUCCAUCAACAGUUCAAUAAUAUUAAAAUGCUCAAAUACGUAAAAGAAGAUUAACAAAAAUGAAGUGGUUUUACAACUAUUGAAACCUUAGCAGUUCAGCAUCAUCUACUUGCACAAUCGAGUUCCAUCACUGGUUUGCAGCAAUCAUAUUUCCUAAUCCGCUUAUGCAUUUACUUUUUCAUAUUUUCAGCAAUCAUAUUUUCGGAUAGCAUACUGUGUGUGGAUAGAUUGUUAAACGUGCAAGAAGGACAUGAUUUAACCUGGUGGAUGGCGUGAAUCAACACGUUCUUCCUCUACCGAGCACAACCCUUUCCCUAGUAGAAGAAAAUAACCACGCUUGAAGCGUUAGGGAAGCUGAGCUGCAAAAAAAAAGAAAACGAAAAAAGAAACGGGUCACAAUUUCUUAGGAUGAGAUCAUAAUCAAGUACAAAUGGCUUGAAAUUAAAGGGCAAUUGUAAUUGCGUAAACAGAACCCAAUCAUAAAGCCAAACGUUAGGCACCAAAAAAACCCAAACGGUUUUUCCAUCAAAGAAUCAUUUGAUCCACCCUCGACAAAUAAGUACAAUGCACCAAAAUGCAGUGAAAAUAUUUUACGUGGAUAACGCUAAAAAGAAAAAUAGUUGUAGAAGAUUUUUUCAAGAAAUACCAUACCUGGGUCACUGAGAAAGUAAGAACGAAGAGCUACUUCUCUAUGUAGGAUACGAGCUCUCCUAUUUCCCAAGCAUUCAGUCCUGAGAACCUGCCCAUUGAGAUAAAAAGCUAUCACGACCCAAUUAGUUUAAAAUGGAACAACUAUUUUAACAUCAUAAUUGAAAUAGCAAGACAUAAAAAAAAAUAAAAAAGGAAAGGAAUAAAAAGGGGGUAAAAGGUAAAAGAUCACUAAAGUGAUAACUAAAAGCGUUGAACCUUUAUGUGGACCUCCAAUGAACAAUCCAACUACUCCCAGCAGUCGAACACAUCAUAAAAAUAUGGUCAAAUAAACUAUUUUGUACUGAACUUAGGGUCUUUUUUCACUAUUAUUCAAUUUUGACAUUUGUUUCAAUUUUAUCAUCGAACUUUAACUUUUGUUUUAAUUUUCUCCUAAAGCGGACUGGCGUGUGGCCCAGCAGACGCGGCGAGUUGUGUUAAAUAAUGGACACAAUAGGCAAACAAUCCCAUGGUUGACUUUGAUCCAAAUUCGACCCAGUGGGUAGACCCAACAUGUAAUGGGUCAAAACCUAUCUUCUUCCCCAAAUCACCAAGUGUUUCGCCUUCCACCUUGCGGUGACGCCGCCCUCGUCGUUGCCGUUUUUGCCUUUUCCCUACCCCUAGCCGCCUCUUUCUUUCUCACUCUUCGUCAUAAGUGGCUUGCUUCCAUUAAUGGCGACCACAUAGGCAACCGAUUGGGAAAAGAAGAGAGAGGGGAGAAGAUCGCAGGUCAAGGCGAAAAAAUGACCAUGGCGAAAUCGAUGUUGAGAAGAAGACAAGGGCCAUGGGUCUAUUGCCGUCGAUCGAGUGGGCCUUGCUUCCGCCAUCGUCGACAAUGUUCUCCAAAAUCGAGGUUCACCGUGACUGCCCUGACUGACGGUUCGUCUCCCCUUUUGGUCGAUGGCUCGCCGACGUGGGUUAUCAUUUUGGUCGACCGAUUGACGCGAGUCUUCUCAGUCACGAGUCGAAUCUCGGCAUUGCAAUGGCCAUCGACGCCAUGGCCAAGGACCUCUGGUCACUCCCAUGGCCGAACAGCUUCGUGCUCGACAUGGCUCCCGUGGCAUGACCACAGGGUUGAGGCCUCGGGUUACCGGCGAUGAGAGAACAAAAAGGCGACCGACGAUGAAGGAAGGCGGCGACAACUGUUUAGGAUGUAAAACCUAGUGGCCUGAGGGUUGAAGAUGAUGGAUUUCUUUUGCUGAUGUGUUCGACAAAUGACACAUCAGCACGCCACCUAAGCAACACGUAUGUUGGGGCUCUCGCCUGUCUGCUUAGGGAUAAAAUUGAAAUCAAAGUUUAAAUUUGAUGACCAAAUUGAACUAAGUGUCAAAACUGGAUAAAAUUCAAAACUGACCCUAAGCUCGGGAUAAAAGAGUCUAUUCGGCCUAAAAAUAUAUUGCUCUAAAAAGGGGGAAGAGAGGGAAAGUAAUGCAUAAUAGAACUCACAACCUUUUUAAGAAUAAGCUUUAGCGUCUCAUCAACUUUCUCAUAAGAGCGUGAAAUCUCGUACUUCACCUGAGCAAAACAUCUUACAGUCAGUAUAGCGCCAAAAAUUCCGUACAUAAAAAUUGUGCACUUGAUAAAAAAAUCAAUGACGGUAAGUAAUGAUGAAACAUAAGUACUCCAUCAACAAUUCAAUAAUAUUGAAAUGCUCAAAUACGUAAAAAAGGAUUAACAAAAAUGAAGUGGUUUUACAACUAUUCAAACCUUAGCAGUUGAGCAUCAUUUACCUGCACAAUCGAGUUCCAUCACUGGUUUGCACCAAUCAUAUUUCCUAUUCCGCCUAUGCAUUCACUUUUUCAUAUUUUCAGCAAUCAUAUUUCUAGAUAGCAUACUGUGUGUGGAUAGAUUGUUAAACGUGCAAGAAAGACUUGAUCUAACCUGGUUGAUGACGUGAAUCAACACGUUCUUCCUCUACUGAGCACAACCCUUUCCCUAGUAGACCACGCCUAAAGCGUUAGGGAAGCUGAGCUGCAAAAAAAAAAAAAGUGAUAAAAAAUCGCG